AGUGGUUGAUGUGGACAGUCCCAAAAAAGAGCUUUGAACCGCUCCCAAGCAUGAUAUAAGUUCUCAUCUGACUUCGGUUUGAAAGACACAAUCUCAUUGCGCAGUCU
rfam:Capsicum annuum cultivar Zunla-1 chromosome 9, whole genome shotgun sequence